UCUCAGGACCGGAUCAGCCUGAAGGACGCCCGAUCUCGUACUGAUCUCGGAAGUCUAAGCAGGGUCGGGACCUGGUUAGUAUCUUGGAUGGGAGACCACCUGGGAAUCCCGGGUGCUCGAGGC
rnacentral:rRNA from 1 species